rnacentral:rRNA from 1 species
ACGCUGGCGGCAGGCCUAACACAUGCAAGUCGAGCGGCAGCGGGAAAGUAGCUUGCUACUUUUGCCGGCGAGCGGCGGACGGGUGAGUAAUGCCUGGGGAUCUGCCCAGUCGAGGGGGAUAACUACUGGAAACGGUAGCUAAUACCGCAUACGCCCUACGGGGGAAAGCAGGGGACCUUCGGGCCUUGCGCGAUUGGAUGAACCCAGGUGGGAUUAGCUAGUUGGUGAGGUAAUGGCUCACCAAGGCGACGAUCCCUAGCUGGUCUGAGAGGAUGAUCAGCCACACUGGAACUGAGACACGGUCCAGACUCCUACGGGAGGCAGCAGUGGGGAAUAUUGCACAAUGGGGGAAACCCUGAUGCAGCCAUGCCGCGUGUGUGAAGAAGGCCUUCGGGUUGUAAAGCACUUUCAGCGAGGAGGAAAGGUUGGUAGCUAAUAACUGCCAGCUGUGACGUUACUCGCAGAAGAAGCACCGGCUAACUCCGU